rnacentral:misc_RNA from 1 species
UUUCAUAUGAUCAGUAGCAGAACAGCACAAACCAACCGGGAGACCCUGAAUCAAGGUGAAAGCUCCCAGGGAAAUGAGGUUUUGGGGGUACUUGUGUUCAUACCAACGUGUGGUAUAUGUAGCUGCAAAGUUUUUGGCUGAUGAGAAAUUGCUUGCAUUUCAGUGCUAAAAAUUCAGGACAUAGGAUAGAUAAGACAGGAUUCCAAAAUAUGAACAAUAUCUUCUGAUACGACAGCUACUUGAGCCAUGAGCACACACAACUUAACAUGUGCAAGCUAACAAGAGCAAACGGAUGUUGGUAUGACAUCAAGAAAUUUAUUGGAAUCCAUCUUCAAUGCUACUAGUUGAGUUUUUUAAGAAAAGGCAAAAGAACAAUGGGUUGAAAAGAAGUGCAACAGGAGACAAAGAUGUGUCAACUGAUUGACGCUUGUUGUGCUAGAGCCCGAGAAGUCUUUCUCUGUAGUUGCUAUCUUUGCAUCAAAAUAAAGAUUUGGAUACUCGAGUUUCAUAUCCUACCACUCAUGAAGCAACAAUACAGUUAACCAAAAUCUUUGGAAUCAAACAUAAUCCGCUAAUAAAAUCCUAUCCCGAACUCUGUUUGAGAGAAAUCAACAAAUAAAAAUGAAAAGCAAAAAGCAAAUGUUACAUGCAAAAAUCAAAUAAAUAAUAUGGAUUAACAAGCAACAAGCGAGCACAAAAUCUCAAAGUCAAGAAAUCAAAAUCAAUACCAACCCAGGAAAAAAAGGAAAAAAGGCCAAGAAAAGGGUUACAUACUGGCAAGAACGGCGACACAGAGGCCAGGAAAGAUAUGAGGAAAUUGAACGAAAAAGUUAACCACAUGUUGGUUGAACACCAUAAACGAAGAAAUAGCAGCAGUAGCAAAAACCUGUGUCGUUACAACCCCAUAAACUUUCUGUAUAAACCCCCAUCGCAACUGGUUCUCCUAACAGGCCUUACCAUCAACCAAUUCAGUUUCUUUCUCCUCUUGUUUCAGAUGUGGUGCACCUUGAGCUUCGCUUGGUUGAGACAGAUCGAGAUUUAUGAGCUUUCCAUGGCUAGCCUUUUGGGAUAGGAAGCGGACGGGAAAGUUGUGAGAAGGCGGUGGUCGGAGAGAAGAGAGGCGGAGGAGUAGAAGAAUGAGGUGGGUUGAGAGGAGUAGGUUGGAGUAGAGUUGAAUCGGAGUUGGGUGAAGGAGGAAAUGGAGCGGAUAGUGGGAGUGGAAUUUGGAAGGGGAGAGGAAAGUAGUUGGCGUAUAGAAAUUGGAUUUGAUAUUACUAUGGGUGUUGUUUUUACAAUGGAGACCUCCAAGAAGUAUAAGAUAGCAGGAUAGCCCCUCUAAUGCCUGAAAGUAUAAUUAAAUUAAAAAGAUUCCCGCGUUCAAACGAAAGAGAAAGAAGUUAGAGACCGCAACGACAGCCAACCAAUUCAAGAAGCAUAAGAAUUUCACAGAAUAAUAGACCAGCAUAGAGGAGGAUAAGCACAAGACUUGGAAGAAAGCAAUAAGGGCUUCAUUGAGGUGGACACCUUGAUUUGCCAAUGCAUCUGCUACUGAAUUGGAUUCCCUUGGGAAUAAUUAAACGAUACUGCUGGAAGAGAAAAAAGAGGAGAUUGAGAAAUUAGUUAGUGAAAAUGGGUUUGUUAAGGAAAUUUAUAAUGAGGUAGUGCCUGAUAGAGUAGAUAAUGAAGGUUUUUGGAGUAGAUAUUUCUAUAACGUGCACAAGUUGAAGCAAGCAGAGGAAACCAGAGCCUUGCUUGUUAAGAAAGCAAUUUCUGGCGAGGAAGAGGACUUGACCUGGGACUUUGAUGGUGAAGACAACGAGGGGGACGAUAAGAGCAAUGUGUCUUUGGUAGAAGGUCAGUCUAGUGGAAGUUUAAAGCCAGAGAAGGGUGAUUACAGUGAAAGCUCUAAGGGUCAUAAUAAAAAUCUCAAAGACGAAAUGGAGAAAGGCAAUGAUAAGCUGGAGAAAAUUGAGGAGAAGGCAGCAGCAGUGGAUGUCAAGGGCGAAAACGGCAAGUCGUGUAAAGAUAGCGAUGUAUCAGUGAUUUCAAGCCAGUCAUUGUUGCCAGAGGAGGACCUUGGAUGGGAUGAAAUUGAAGAUAUUGAUGAAAGCAAAGGGGAAAAAUUGGGUAGCUCGACAAGUACUAGUAGAUUAGAUUUGCGCAAGCGGUUGAGUGCUGCAGAGGAAGAGGACUUGAGUUGGGACAUAGAUGAUGAAGAUGACGAACCUAGUAAACCAUGACACAAGGAUGGUAAGUAUAUACGAGUUGCUACUCUUUAGUUGAUUAUUUACAUGUGAAAAAUGAUUUUUUAGUGUCAUAGUUACGUAAUUAUUUUGUCAUCAUAGUUUUCCUCGUUGAGUUUCAAUGAUUGAAUUCAUGUUACUAUCUCAGUUUUAUCUUCUAUAAAUGUUAAUAUUGAUUGAAUGAAAUUAUUGGCAAAGAGCAAGCAUAUGCUGUCUACUUAAGCUUUCUCUCUUCAGUUAACGAAAAGGGGCAAACACUCAAAACUAAGGGGUAAGGAAAGACAAUAAUUACACAUGAGAGUGCAAUCCCACUACCACUAGUAUCACAUAGGAGGAAUUUGUGCCAUUCCUGGGUCAUCCCCUUAGGUGGAUAACGCCAAGAUUGCUAGGCAAGUAGUUCCCAUAUUUCCUCUGAUCUGGACAUGCUAAGCUCUCUCGAGUCUCGAGUUGUCUUCAACAGGUUAAUGGUGAUUACUGAUUUAUGGGACAUUUUAAAUUCCAUGGGUCAUUCCAUAUUUAUUUCCGGAAAUUCAGAUGAGAUGAAAAGGUGAAGAUUAAUAAGUAUAUUGGCAAAUCUAUUCCUAGUUUCUGCUCUAGUUAUAGAAAUUAAGGGAUUACAGAGAAAAGAAGCAUCCCUUAGAGCUUCACUUGCCAAGCAUCCCUUAGAAGCAACAAAGCUGUCCAUAUAGCUUGGCAAGCAAAGCUCACCGCAAUUGGAAUUUGUAAUUUCUUCGAUGCCCAAUGGGGGCCUGAAUCUUUCUUAAGUUUGAGAAAUGCAACUGCCAGCGCAACUUUGUUAUGUAAAAAAACUGUUUUUGUUUUUUUACAU